GAGCAACACCGGCUCAGCCCUUUCCUGUUUCAGCAUGACAAUGCUCCCGUGCACAAAAUGAAGUCCAUACAGAAAUGGUUUGUCGAGAUCAGUGUGGAAGAACUUGACUGGCCUGCGCAAAGCCCUGACUUCAACCCCAACGAACAUUUUGGAAUGAAUUGGAACACAGACUACGAACCAGGCCUAAUCUCCCAACCUCACUAAUGCUCGUAGUUAAAUGGAAGCAAGUCCCGGCAGCAAUUGGGGGGGGUAAUUCCUGCAGCUAGCUGACUUUUUAUGUAAACAAUGUGGGUGUCAAACAUUGGAAUCGUAUGCUAGCUACAUUUAGUUUAGUUAUAUUAUUGGCUGUCAUGUUAGAAAUUACUCUGUUGGCUAACAAGAUCAGUGCAGUUGAAGAAAAGGAGUCAAGGAGAGGAGCCAAGAAGAGGAAGACACUUAAGUCUAUAGAGGCUUCUUAGGACAACCACUGGACUUGGACAUAACAGACCAUGUUGAUUCUUAUCCAUAUAACUUAAUCUAUGGCUGUCCUUACAAACCUAGAAGAGUAUGACGCACUAAAUGUGAUGGUAGAAUACAAAGUGCUGCCAAAGACAAUUAAAUUGAUACAGCUGGGAUGAUCAAUAAAUCCAAAAUAUCCUGUGAGCAACCAGUUGGUCAAAAGUCAAAAUAUCCAUGACACACAAUCAGAUUUAGGUUGUUAUAGGAGUUUUUCAAUCUUUAUUUAUACGUUUUCACCUUCAUCAUGUUUUGUGGGUUAACCCUAUAGCUGAUCAAAGGUUGUGCAAUAGAUGUAGGUCAACAUAUAAGCAUCUACUACUGUAGGAGUUCUACAUCUCUGGUUUGUCAGCUACUGUCUAGUUCUAGACCUAGGCUCUGUCCCAAAUGGACCAUAUCCCCUAUGAAGUGCACUACUUUUGACCUGGGCCCAUAGUGCACAUGGGCCUCGGUAAAAUGUAGUGCACUAUAUAGGUAAUAGGGUGAAAUUUGGGAUGAAUCCCUAGUCUGUCCAUCUACAAGUACUUAACUAGAUUUGCCUGAUUGAGCAUAGGACUGCCUGAUGUGGAGCUGCUGCCAGGAAGCCUGGAUGCCAUUGUGAUGCUGCAACACAAUGUCAACAUUCUAACCCUAGCCCAGACGAAAUGCACUUAUCCUGUCUAAUCGUCUGCCUCUCAUAACAUUUAGAAAGUACUGUAUGUUGUGGACGUAUGCCUAACUUGUCGAAUGUAAAAAAUACAUUUAAAAAAGUGCCCGUAAAGGAAUGUUCUUAAUGA